ensembl:lncRNA
AGCUAAAAGAAGAAUUAGAAGAAAGCUGCAUGAAUAAAGAUGGGAUCCUUCAUGAUACAGAAAAGACCUCAGCAGAAGAGUGGGCCAGAGGAGAGGCAACUGAGAGGGAAAAGGAACCUCUUGAACAAAAGGCUAAAGAAUUACAGUCAAAGAUGGAGGGCGACAGAAGUGCCAUCUUGAAGGAAGUUAGACUCAAAACGACAAAGAUGAGAGAAAGAGAAAACCUUCUAAGAAGGAUGAACGAGAGGUUUGAGAUGUUGGAGAUCUUGGGGAUGAUAAAGGACGAGCUAGGGGAAUGCUGCAAGAAGACAGAUGAGCUUUGUAAUGCAGCCAAGACCUUGGCAGAAUGCACUAAAGGAGAGCCAUCUGAGAGGGAAAAGGAGCUUCUUGAGCAAAUGGUUAAAGAAUUGCAGCAAAAGUUGGAGGACCGAGAAAAACCUUCGAGAGAUUUAGAGACAAACUCACAAAGGAAAUGAGAGAAAGAGACGACCUUCUGAGAAAGAUGAAUGAGAGGAUUCAGAUGCUGGAAGUAUGUCUGGUCUGGGUCUGGGCAGUGACUUUGGAACAAAGCCUGAGCCCUCAGGAAGGGGUGGGUGGAAAUUAAAGCAUAAUCACAGAGAGAAGAACUAUUCUCUUUUGCUUUCAAUUCACUAGAAGCUCUGGGAUUGUAAUGGCUUAUAUCCAGUCAUUUGGGUUCAGUUCACAGUUUUUGAAGAGUCCCUGAGGACCUUGGUAUCUCAAACAUUUAUAGAAUAUAAAUAACUUUUCCAAGCCUUGUGCUGCUGUUUUGAGAGAUUCCUGGUUGAUCUCAUGGAAUCAGUAUUAAAUGGGGCUCCCAGGUUUAACAAGUAGACAUUCUGAGUAUGUUUAAGGCAAGUAGGAUAAGUUACUGAAAUAGUACCUCAUCAUUUUCUUAACAGUUGACACAGAUUUAGUGCUAUUCAUUGUAGGGGAUCCUGAUUUCUCUGAAAGAGUUCUAAUAGACUAUAAUAUUCUAUUCCAAACUGAAGCACUUUCUCUGGACAUCUGUCUGACCUCUGAAGCAAUGUCAGUACAGAUGUCUUCCUUGACUAAACACUUGCAUAAUUUCCUUAUAUGCUUAGAAAAGACAAGUUAUUUUGAGAUUGUUACUUUUACUGUGUACUUACUCCCAUUCAGAGCAAAUCAAGCUCCUCUGCAGAGCUUCUCCUACCAAAGCUUUCUUUAUCUUUAUUAUGCUUUUAGUUGUAUUGCUGUUAUUCAUGCACUAUAGAUAGAAUCUGAGGAAGCUACAGCUGUGAGGAACUAUAGACAUUAUAUUAAAAUCCCUACAUUUCACCUAGAAACUCAAGGAAUAAAGAUACUUACCAGUAUGUCUUAUAGUAUUUCAGCACUUUUUUUCUGAGAUGCAGAGAUUCAGGUUUAUUUAAACAGUUUCAUAGAGAUGUAAUUCACAAGCCAUAGAUUUCACGGAUUUGAAUGUACAACUAUAUUUAAUUAAAUGUACAUGUAUGAUUGAUACAAAUUUACCAAAGUAUGUAUAGUGAUUUCACUUGGGAAUGUGCUUUAUGGAAUGUUCCUGGAAGACCAAGAAAGGGUCUCUGAGGAAUUAGGAGUCAAAAAGACAGAGAAGCAAAGAGAAAGAGAAAAGACCUCAGCAGGUAUAGGGUAGACUCAGCUCAUGGUAGGGUGGGUUCCUGCAGUGCCCUCUAUGACUCCAACAGGAGGAACUUCCAGAAAUAGAGCUUCCUCUCCUUCUGUGAACACACUCUGCUACAUCUGAAAAUAACAAGGUGAAUUGUGGUUAGAGGUCCAACCAAUCAUCCCCUUUUCUAGCACAUUCUCGCACCUGCCCUUAUGUGUGGUCACAGGUGAAUUUAGACAUGUCCAUCUGCUUUGCCCAGACAGUUUGGUUACUCAGAAAGCAAGGGUUGUUGGUUGUGGGCUUGUAGCUCUCAGUGCUGACUGUUGUUUUCUUCUCUUCUCUCUCUAAAAUCUUCCGGGAGCAGAAAUGCUGGCCCAAUGGGAGGAUGCUAUGUGGGAAAAGAAGCU